CAUUACGAUACACACUUUCCAUAAAUUUGAAAUCAGUUUUCUUUCCUUCUUAAUUCCAAUCAAAAACCCUAAUCAAAGCUGAUUUCACCAUCAAUCUUUCUGUUGGUUCUCUUCUGUUGUUUUCUUCAAACCCUAGAAUUGAUUGUUCUUUGUUGAGGCUUGAUCUAGAGCUCGAAUUGAUUGUUCUUUGAUUGGUCUUGGGCUCGAAUUGAUUGUUCUUUGUUCAUGUUAGCGUUGAUGGCUAUUGAAUAAAACCUAGAUGAUGGCUAUUGAACAAACCAAACAACCCAGGUAACUUUCUCUUCAUCUUCUUGACCUGAAGAGUUCUAGGGCUAAUGUACGUUUAAGUACCCUAGCGACCGAAGAAUCGUGUUUAAUGUACGUUUAAUGUUAAUUCAUGAUUCCUACAUCCAUCUUUUUGUUCGAUUGUGAAUUGUACUAUGUGUGUUUGAAUUGUUAUUUUUGUUUGUGUGUUGGUUUUAUUUGAUUUGGGAAUCUAGGGUGUCUGUUUGUUCAAUUUACAAGUUAGGGUUAUUUUUUUUCUUUCACAAUUUAGGUGAAAUUCAGAUCUGUAUUGCAAUUAGGUAGGUAGAGAUCAUUGUUUUGGUUUCAGAUGGCUAAAACCCUCUUGGAAUCGGUCAGUCACAACUAGAGUUAAUGCGAUCUAUCUUCAUCCUGUAUUUGAUUCUCUCUCUUUUUUUUUUGCAUUUGUUUCUGUUUAUAUCAACAUAACUUGCAGAGUUAUUGUUUCAAUUAAGGUUUCAUGCAAUUGAAACAAAUUGUGUUACAUAUUGAUACACAAAAGAUGAAUUAUUCUAAUAUUUGCUAAUGUAAAAUGUUUGUGAAACGUAUUUGAGCUUAUGUUAAGAAAUGCGGUUCAGGUUUUUAGAAUUAAACCCUAGAUCUCUCAUAUGUGAUAUUUUUUUUUUGAAUCACCUCUUCCAUUCUUGGUCCCUAUUAACGCUUUCUUAUUGUGUGCCAUCACUGAUACAUACCACGUCAACCAAGGGUGUUAAUAUCUCUGAAGUUAUCAGCCUCCGGCUUCUUUGACGGGUGACUGAUACGAUUGAGAUGUUGGUUCGUAUGUGACAUAAAGGUGUUUGUGGAUGUGACACGGACACCAGCAAUGGUAAAGAAAUAGCCACCAAUGUGUAUUUUGAUUAUCUAUCCUUCCCCUCAGGAAUUCAGUCCAUUCGCCUAUCAGAAUCUGUUAUAUCAAACGGGUUGCUGAGCAAGGGUUUCAAGCUAUUGAAGUUAAGAACUUGGUGUUGGUCGGGGUUGUGCUAUUGCUAUGCGAGCUCGGCCUAGGUACAUUCAAGCAUUGAUGGACAAAGCAAAAGUGCAUGAGUGAGAACCUGAGAAAAAACAUAUUAUUUUGUUAAACACUUCAAAAGCAUAUUAUUUAUAUUUCAAACCUGAGAAUUUCAUUAUGAACAUCUUACAUGUAUAAUGUUCUUUGUCAAUACUUCAAAAGCAUAUUAUUUUGUUAAACACUUCAAUUUAUAUU